CACAAGAUUAGAUUUCUCAGGGUCGUUGUAGACUACGACGUUGAUAGGAUGCAGGUGUACAGGCAGCGAUGUCAUAGCCGAGCAUUACUAAUUGCCCGUCCACUUUUUGC
rnacentral:rRNA from 1 species